rnacentral:rRNA from 1 species
GUGCUUAACACAUGCAAGUCGAACGAUGAAACCUAGCUUGCUAGGUGGAUUAGUGGCGCACGGGUGAGUAAUAUAUAGAUAACGUGCCUCUUAGUCUGGGAUAGCCAUUGGAAACGAUGAUUAAUACUGGAUACUCCUUCUCUUUAUAAUAAGAGUUGGGAAAGUUUUUCGCUAAGAGAUCGGUCUAUAUCCCAUCAGCUUGUUGGUAGUGUAAGAGACUACCAAGGCAAUGACGGGUAGCGGGUUUGAGAGGAUGAUCCGCCACACUGGUACUGAGACACGGACCAGACUCCUACGGGAGGCAGCAGUGAGGAAUAUUGCACAAUGGAGGAAACUCUGAUGCAGCAACGCCGCGUGGAGGAUGACGCAUUUCGGUGUGUAAACUCCUUUUAUAGGUCAAGAAAAUGACGGUAGCCUAUGAAUAAGCACCGGCUAACUCCGUGCCAGCAGCCGCGGUAAUACGGAGGGUGCAAGCGUUAUUCGGAAUCACUGGGCGUAAAGGACACGUAGGCGGGAAGCCAAGUCUGAUGUGAAAUCCUACAGCUUAACUGUAGAACUGCAUUGGAAACUGGUUACCUAGAGUAUGGGAGGGGGAGAUGGAAUUAGUGGUGUAGGGGUAAAAUCCGUAGAUAUCACUAGGAAUACCUAAAGCGAAGGCGAUCUCCUGGAACAUUACUGACGCUAAGGUGUGAAAGCGUGGGGAGCAAACGGGAUUAGAUACCCCGGUAGUCCACGCCCUAAACGAUGUUCACUAGUCGUCGGGAUGCUAGUCAUCUCGGUGAUGCACUUAACAGAUUAAGUGAACCGCCUGGGGAGUAC